AUUAAAAAUUGGGCCUAAAACCAAAAUAAAAGUUCAAAACUCUGCCCAGGAGAAACCCAACAAACAUUAGGGUUUUAAAACAUGAGACAACAAAACAAUAAAAAUCAAAACAUAAAGCAAAAAAAUCUAGAAGCUUCAAAUCCAGGCCUCUACAGAUACCUCUAACCCUAAAUAGUAACAAAUCUUUCUAUAGAUUCCAACGAACUGAAACAUACAGGAUGUGGAUUGAGGUUGCCUUUGCAAUAGUUCAAGAAUAUCCCCAACCCACGAACAUAACAUAAAUUCAAAAUGAUUACAGUGGUUGUUGAAAUCGACGGUCCACAUCUGCCAACUCUUUAGCUUCCAUUGGUGCAUCCUCAACCCAGAAGCAGUCCUCAAGCCCCCUCAUGCCCUCCUCCACUAGUGCAUGUGCAACAGAGUUACCCUGGUGCACAGUAAACUCAAAACAAUAGCCAGAGAAAGACCCUGCCCAAACCUUUACAUCCUAGGUAACCUAUCUCGUCUCUGAAUAGUCCCCGCCUGGAGAUGUUAGGUUCUUAAUUGUAUGCUUUGAAUCACCCUCCAAAAUAACCUACGUAAAACCCAUUCAGAUGCGAACUGUAUUCCAUGGAGCACUGCUAUCACCUCUGCCAUUGUAGCUGUAGUGACCAGGUCAUGAACUCGAAACCCACAAGAACCCCUUUUCAUUUCUUAUAAAAAAUCUUAAUGUUGCCAACUGUUUUGCAGCCGAGAAACUAGCAUCAGCAUUCACCUUUACUUAGUUUGAUGGAGGGGGUUCCAAUGAAUCAUCUCACGUGGUCUUGGAUGUUGUAGAUUAUCUGUUAAGUCCCAAUAUUCGCGGCUAUAACCUCUAAUGAAGGUAACCCUCCUACUUAACAUUGGAUUGCGCAACGGAUUUCACAUUUUGAUUUAGUAUUUCAUGGUUUUAUACUAUUUGAUUUAAAUUGAACAUUUCAGACUUUAUUAUGGUUUGUAUAACUUUUGGACAUUUUAUGAUUUCUUUAGAUCAUUAGGACUAAA